rnacentral:rRNA from 1 species
GACGAACGCUGGCGGCGUGCUUAACACAUGCAAGUCGAACGGAAAGGCCUGCCACUGUGGUGGUGGGUACUCGAGUGGCGAGCGGGUGAGUAACACGUGGGUGAUCUGCCCCGCACUGUGGAUAAGCCUGGGAAACUGGGUCUAAUACCACAUACGACCAUGGCGUAGGGGUCAUGGUGGAAAGCUUUUGCGGUGUGGGAUGAGCCCGCGGCCUAUCAGCUUGUUGGUGGGGUAAUGGCCUACCAAGGCGGCGACGGGUAGCCGGCCUGAGAGGGUGGACGGCCACAUUGGGACUGAGACACGGCCCAGACUCCUACGGGAGGCAGCAGUGGGGAAUAUUGCACAAUGGGCGCAAGCCUGAUGCAGCGACGCCGCGUGGGGGAUGGAAGGCCUUCGGGUUGUAAACUCCUUUCGCCCGGGACGAAGCCCACCUUGGUGGGUGACGGUACCGUGGAGAAGAAGCACG